GAUCCUGCUAGCAGAUAUCCAGUAAUAACCGGUUGUCCAACACAGGCAAAUGCAAUGCCACCACAAGUUGCAGAUACAAUGACAACUACCAGAUCCGAUAUCAAUCUUAAAUCUAAUUGCAACACAGGGUACUUGGAUUUUGGGUUUGAUAUGAUAAAGACAUUGUCCUUUCUGUCAAUCAACGUUGGCAUAUCCUCUGCUCGAUUCUCAUUGUCCAAAUUGAAAACAUCAUGAAACUGAAAAGACUUCUCCUCCUUGGUGUCAUUUUUCUUUGAUUUAACUCUAGCAACAGUUUCCAAAACAGCCUGCUGUCCAG
rnacentral:misc_RNA from 1 species